AUACGUACCUGGCGUAGGGGGUACCGUGAUCAUGCAGGUGGUUCCCCCAGAGCAAGGCUGCUGCAGUUGCACUGCAGAGUGGUUGACCCUUGCGAUUAUCCCUAAUAAAACUCGAACUCGUAAUUUUUGAUAUUUAUGUAUAGUCUUAGU
rnacentral:snRNA from 9 species